UGCAGAUGAGAAAAUGAAGGCUUGAAGAAGUUAAGUGACGUCUCCGAAGUCCCAAAGUUAAAAAGAUCACCAGCUGCCAUGUUGGGAGGACACUCAGGCAGCCUGUGGAGGAACUCCCAUGGUGAGGAGUCUGCCAACAAUCAGAUGAGUGAACUUGGACAUGUAUCUUCCCAGGCCUGCCAACAUGUGAAUAGGCUGGGAAGCGGAUCUUUGACCCCUAUGUUGAGCCUUCAAAUGAAACCACAGCCCUGGUGAACAGCUUGUUGCAACCUUAUGAGAUACCUCAGAGCAGCAGUCCCCAACUUUUUGGCACCUGGGACCAGUUUCGUGGAAGGCAAUUUUCCCACAGACCGGGGUUGGGGGGUGGGGAUGGUUUUGGGAUGAAACUCUUCCACCUCAGGUCAUUAGCCAUUAGAGUCUCAUAAAGAACACACAACCUAGAUCCCUCUUCACGCUCCUAUGAGAAUCUAAUGCUGCUGCUGAUCUGGCAGGAGGCGAAGCUCAGGCAGUAAUGCUCACUCGCCCACCGCUCACCUCCUGCUGUGUGGCCUGAUCCUAACAGGCCAUAGACCAGUACCAGUCUAUGACCUGGGGGUUGGGAACCCCUGUCUUGGAGUACAGGUACCCAGCUGAGCUGUGGAAGAUUCUCAACACAGGGAAUGUGUAGAAUAAUGAAGAUUUAUUGUUUUAAGCCACUAAGUUUUGGAGUAAUUUGUUAUGCAGCAAUAGGUAACUAAUACACCAUCAAAUGCAUUUGCUCAGUCAGAUUGCAAGGCAGAAACUACUAGAGCUCCAGCUGCAACCCUGUUUUUCAGGAUAUAAAAGUAUAUAUAUUGUGGUAGACCAAAUAAUGAGCCUCCCAAAAUGUCCACGUUCCUAAUUUCCUGGAACAUAUUGUGAGUGUGUUACACUACAAGACAAAAGGGACUUUGCAGAUGUAAUUAAAGUUACAAACUUUAAAAUACAUUAUCUUAGAUGAGCUGAGUGGGUCCAAUCUAAUUACCUGAGCCCUUAAAAACAGAACUUUGGCUGGAGGCAGGAGAGAUUUGCCAGAAGUGGAAGUUGGAAAGAUUCAAAGUGUGAGAGGACCUCACUGUUGCUGGAAAAGGCAACGUGUAAAGCAUGAAAAUGAAGAUGGGCCGCCUCUAGGAGCUAAGACUCCACCCCAGUUGAUAGCCAGCAAGAAGACGGGGAUCUGGGCUCUGCAACUGUCAGGAACUGAACAACCUGAAAAACCCUGAAAGCAAUUCAGUGCUGGAGUCUCCAGAAAGGAAUGCAGCCCUGCUAACACCUUGAUUUUGGCCCUGUGAAAGCCAGGGAAGAAAAAUCAGUAGCGCCAACUGGGACUUCAGACCUACAGACGUCUAAGAUAAAUAAAUUUGUAUUAUUUUCAGUUCACUAAGU
rnacentral:lncRNA from 1 species